AAAAUUAAAAGAAAGAAGGAGAUUUAGAUAAAAGAGGACACCCAGGGCGAGGCUUAUCCAUUGCACUCUGGAUGUGCUGACCCCUGUGAUUUCCCCAAAUGUGGGAAACUCGACUGCAUAAUUUGUGAGUGGGGGACUGCGUUUGCGCUCUCCCCUG
ensembl:snRNA U1 U1 spliceosomal RNA